rnacentral:lncRNA from 1 species
AUGGGAAGAAAGCAAGUGAAACCGGGUCUUGUGAGGGUGGAUCCUACUUGCUCUACCAUGAAAGUGCCUUUUAAGUUCUAAACAUACGUGGUAGACAUGAAUGCGAUCUUACACAAAUCAUAAUAGAAAUUAGCCACACCAUAAGAGAGACAAUCAAACACCAAUAAACGCCAAGCUUUAUGUGAUUCUCUGAAAUCUAAGACCAGUAUUCGCGGGAGAACAAUGCAAAGG